GACAUACCGAACCGGAAAACCGUAGAGAGUACCCGGUUCCCCUUGUGGUCGGUGUACGGGUGGUGCAUGGCUGUCGUCAGCUCGUGUCGUGGGAUGUUGGGUUAAGUCCCGCAACGAGCGCAACCCUUGUCUUAUGUUGCCAGCACGUGAUGGUGGGGACUCGUAAGAGACUGCCGGGGUCAACUCGGAGGAAGGUGGGGACGACGUCAAGUCAUCAUGCCCCUUAUGUCCAGGGCUUCACACAUGCUACAAUGGCCAGUACAGAGGGCUGCGAGACCGUGAGGUGGAGCGAAUCCCUUAAAGCUGGUCUCAGUUCGGAUCGGGGUCUGCAACUCGACCCCGUGAAGUCGGAGUCGCUAGUAAUCGCAGAUCAGCAACGCUGCGGUGAAUACGUUCCCGGGCCUU
rnacentral:rRNA from 1 species